rnacentral:rRNA from 1 species
UACGAAGGGGGCUAGCGUUGUUCGGAAUUACUGGGCGUAAAGCGCGCGCAGGCGGUUCUUCAAGUCAGUGGUGAAAGCCCGGAGCUCAACUCCGGAACUGCCAUUGAAACUGUAGAACUUGAGGACGAGAGAGGUGAGUGGAAUUCCCAGUGUAGAGGUGAAAUUCGUAGAUAUUGGGAGGAACACCAGUGGCGAAGGCGGCUCACUGGACCGGUACUGACGCUGAUGCGCGAAAGCGUGGGGAGCAAACAGG